CCCGGCUCAAGUGAAAGGAACACUAACGCCAUGCUCCCCAAAAAUGCAAAGGACUCAUCUCCAACAUCCCUUCCCAAUUCGUAAUCUUAGGUCGAAAUCAGAAUUCACGUUCGAGACAUAAAGACUCAAGCUUCAAAAUUUCUAACUCGUGCAGAUAAAUCAUGUACAUCCACGAGCAAUGGCGGGUCCAACUCUUCAAUCACGAAGAAUCAAGGAAAUGCAAUGGAAUACACGCCGCACCUUGUCAUCCACGUCGAAUUCGAUCGAGGUUGUGCGCGAAGAGAAAUCGAAGGAAAGAAACCCUCACCAAUUUCACGCUCCGGGUUGUCGCCCGCGUUGCUGGCACGUUGUUGUUGUCUUACUGCGUCGCGUUUGUAAUGAAAAGGUGAAGAAUGAUUAUUGUCGACUCUGAUGACGAGCGCUACAUCGUUAUGUGUUGUGAUGAUGAUCUAACAUGGAAUUGCACAUCACGUCGGAGACAAAAUCUUCUUCGACAUCGGAAGCUGUGAUUGUGGCGGAUGAUGAAACACGCUUGAAACAGAAGGUUGAAGAAGCUGCAAGAUGGCGAAGAUUGAAGGAGAAAGUGAACCUUCUACUGAAGAGUAAGAAGGUGAUUAUGGAGAUUCGGUUGAAGGUUGAAUAUGAAGGUGACGGGUAUGGAAUCACAAGUGCGAUAUGAAGAGAAACGUGAUGCAGAGUGCCGACCCCUUAGUGCCUAGCUGCAAUGAGGUCCGUCAUGGUGUAACAUGGUUAAGUUCCAUGACGAAUUGAUGACAAUUUCAACCUACCGAAUUAUGGCAUUGCAACAAGAUCAUGGUCCUUUGGCAGGUAGUGUAAUACCCCAAUUUUGACCCUGAUAUCCCUCAUGCAAUUUCAUCAUAAGCAUUAGCAUUGGGAUCAUAUCUUGGCAUCCUCCUUACCCCUCUUUCAUUGGGUUUGUUUUGGGAGAGAUCACCAAGCACUUUGUGAUUAUAUCAUACUUGUAUUUUAUCAUUUCACUAACCAAAAUACCGAAAAAUAUGUCUUUGCAUUUGUCUAACUCUUUUGUAGGAAGGGCAUGAUUCCAUUGAUUCAUCAAGUUCACAUCUAGGGUUUGAGACCCUCAUGAACAAAGAGCACAACCAAGAAUUGAUUCAAGAAUGGUCAUUAACAUAAUAUAUGAGUCCUAAUGUUCUCUACAUUUUAUAUUGAUCAAGUUUUCUUCAAGAGUUUGAGGGUGAUUUUCCUUGGAAAUCCUAGUUUGACUGGGUAUCUUGAGUAACUUCUCCAACAAACUAUCUCACAAAUUGAUCAAAUUUCUCAAGGGACACUUCAAAUUUCAUCAUCUUAAGCAUAUAUAAUCUACCAUGAGCCAGGAAAGUCAAGAGAAUUGGAAGUUAGCAAGUUGGUUGAUGGUGGUUGGCCAGAUGGAUUCAUCUGAUCAAAACUGGGUCUCCCUAAACCCUAUCUCCUACAAUUUUCACCAUAUGAAAAUGAUUCUAAGAGAAAACGUACUCUAAGUUACAUUCCAAACAACUUUCAUGUUGAGACCUAGAGCUUUUUUUCUUGGAAAAUCAUUUUCUAUGUUGAAACAUUAUAGGUCAUUUUGUCUAAACCCUAAUUUGAAAGUCAACUUCCCAAGGACAUAACAUGCUCAAUUUUUAUGAGAUGAAAGAUUUCCAAGUUUAAAAAUCAAAAUAAAUGUGUCUACUUUAACUUUUAUGUUUGGAGUGGGAGCUGAUUCAACUUUUUUGAGCAUGUGAUAUGAGGUUACAUUAUAGGUCACUUUUGACCUAUACCUUUGAUCAAGUGAUUUUUCCAAACUUCAAAAAUGCAUAACUCUAUCAUUUUAAAUCCAAAUGACAUGAAAUUGGUGACCAUUUUAAAGGUCUUUGAUAGAGAUACAACUUUGAUGAAGACACGUUUCUGAUUUGAAGCUCAUAUAAAA